GAUGAACGCUGGCGGCGUGCCUAAUACAUGCAAGUCGAGCGCACGGACGAGAAGCUUGCUUCUCUGAUGUUAGCGGCGGACGGGUGAGUAACACGUGGAUAACCUACCUAUAAGACUGGGAUAACUUCGGGAAACCGGAGCUAAUACCGGAUGAUAUUUUGAACCGCAUGGUUCAAAAGUGAAAGACGGUCUUGCUGUCACUUAUAGAUGGAUCCGCGCUGCUUUAGCUAGUUGGUAAGGUAACGGCUUACCAAGGCAACGAUGCAUAGCCGACCUGGGAGGGUGAUCGGCCACACUGGAACGGAGACACGGUCAAGACUCCUACGGGAGGCAGCAGUAGGGAAUUUUCCGCAAGGGGCGAAAGCCGGACGGAGCAACGCCGCGUGGUGGAUGAAGGUCUUCGGAUCUUAAAACUCUGUUAUUAGGGAGGAACAGAUGUGGAAGUAACUGUGCACAUCGUGACGGUACCUAAUCAGAAAGCGACGGCUAACUACGUG
rnacentral:rRNA from 1 species